GCGGGGUAGAGCAGUUUGGUAGCUCGCAAGGCUCAUAACCUUGAGGUCACAGGUUCAAAUCCUGUCCCCGCAAA
rnacentral:tRNA from 1 species